CUGCUGCGCAGCGACGCUGCGGGCUGGGAGGGUGUUGGACGGACGAAAGGCAGACCAACAGACAAUCCGCCCUGUCCAGGAGGCUGGGCCGAGGGCGCGGGGGGCCGGGCAGGGGACAGCGCCUCCUGCAGGAGGCGCAGGAGCCCGGUGACUUCCGCCUCCCACCCUGUCUGACUGAACCGGAAGUCAUCGCUCGCCCGGCGGCCCGCCCAGGGCCUCCUCAGUGUCCCUGAAACCCAGGCUGUGCUCCGGGUCUCUGUCCUCCCGGCUCCUGCAAGCCUUCGUGCCCCCGGGGUCACUCUGGCCCGGUGCCCAAGUGACCUCCUCUCCUAGAAGCUGUGCCCGUUUCCCCGCACAAAAGAGCACCCCGACUUUUCAGCUCUGCUCUUCUGCUUUUUUCCCCACGGUCAGAGGCGUCACCCCCACCAUGGGGUGCGCCCCGAAGGUGGGCUUCUGUGUGCUCACUGCCACCCCCUCGACCUUGGGGACUUCUGGUGACUGGGCAUACAGCAGGCGCACAGCGGAUGCGUGCUGACAAACCCCAGGCCGUGCGACAGCGAGGAGAGCCCAGGGUCCCAGGGUCCGGGGCAGUGGGCAUGGUGGGCACGCAGGGACAGCAGGGGUGGCGGGGAAAGCAGGACCCAGCCACUGAACCUCGGCCCACCCGCCUCGCCCUCGUGUCAGUCCCUUGCACGGGGCAGAGCGGUUGUUGGGGGGGGGGGGCUUCUGAGCCCGGAGCCCGAGGGAGAGCUGGGGGUAGACCGUCCCCCAGCUGCGGCCUCAGCCUUCCGCGCCUGCGCUUCUGUUUCGGAAGCCUCUCCCACGGUACGCCUGGAAGCGACCCGAGGGCUGCGGAUGGCGGGCACCUGCCUUCCCGGGGCUGGCUGUCUCCGCAGGCCGCUGGGAGCACUUCACAGGCUCGGAGUGGAACACGGGGCCAGACCGAGGCGGGAGUGCCUCUCAGACUCACGGAGGUGGCUGAGUCUGCUUCUGCGGAGAUCGCAGCUAUGCCUUCUCCGUCCCUCCCCGCUGCACCCUCUGCACACGCAGGCAGCCUAGCUCCUGCGUUUCUGGAGAAGCAACCGGGUGAGAUGGGUGGGGAGACACCGGAAGAGGCCCACAGGCUCUGGACCCACCGGAUCGAAGAUGUCAGGAGCCUCGAAGCCCCUGCCCAGGUCUCUCGGAGCCCUCGCUGUGGGAGGCCAGUCCUGUGCAGAAAGUUGGUCCAGCGCAAGGUCGCAUGCCAGCAGGCUGAGUGGGGCACAAGGACAGGAACAGAGGUCCAACCACCCCAGCUCAGGCCCCGAUGCCGGAGAGAAGGCGCCAUCCGGCAGAGGGCGCAUGGAGGAGACCUGCGGUUGGCAUCUGCAGCCAGCUGAGACACCCCAGUGGAGGGAGCCCCACGUACUGAGAAGAGCAGAGGUGCGUGACCAGCCUGAUUCCUGCUGGGCAGGAUCUUGAUGCUGAUGCUAUGGAAGGCUGGCUGACCCUCGUCUGGCCAGCACCAAGGGGAGAAGCCAGACUCGGAGCUGCCAUGAGCAGCGUCCUCCUGCAUGGGGACACUGAGAUGCCUAGCUAAUGCCCGGAGCUCAUCCUUCUGAAGUGAAUUAAUGAGUUGUCGUGCCGCUGGACUCACCACAUGUUUACACAAACUAAACCUCCAGCUGUUAUCUGCGCCUCCCUGUUCUGGGUGUCCCAGCCCUGCUGGGUGCUGGCAUGACUCCAGAUAUCAUAGAUAUGGUUGUGCUGGGAGUAUCUUUCUAAGUCCCUCUUUCUCCAACUGGACUAUGAGCUUGUGGAGAUCAGCGACCUGUGCCUGACUCAUGAUAGACAUGCAAUAAAUCUAGGAAUGCAGUCACAUGGAAUUUCGCUUUUCCCUUCAGAAGAGGAAAACUGCAGGAGCAAAUUUAAAUGUUGUAAACCAAAGCCUGGGAUGUGAAUCUUCACCCAGGGUCUGAUGACAAGACUACGUCACUGUAGCUGCUUUUCCUAUUGUCCCGACCCUCAGCAGCUAAUAGUUACUGCACACCACAUUUUGGAAACGGAGCAUGCGCCACCUCAUGUAAUCCUUAGAGCGACCAUAGGAGUAUCACAGUCAAACAGAUUGAGGCUACUUUCAGUUAGAGAAAAUGAGAAAGAACAAACAAGACAACCUUCCUCUACAAACAACGUUAAUUUAGUUGUCAGAGGUCAAUAACAUCAACACCAGCACCGGAAGUUCUUUUGCACCUUCAAUUUUGCACUGUGUGAGACAACCUUUCCACCAUAAGCCCUAAAUAAGCCCUUUUCUCUGGGAACCUCAAUCCUCUAUUAUAAUAAUCUUAGAAUUUCAGAGAAGGCUUAGGAAUUUAAACUUCAUUAAACUGAUAAGAAAACCAAGAAACAAACUUGCACCAGACCCACAGUCACACGCCGGUGUUGGACCCACUUAUUUGAGAUCGGAGCAGAGGACACAGAAGCUGAAUUCAUUCGUAACCUUCCCAACCUGGUCUCCUAACCUGCCCUCUCCUCCCACCCUCCGGCUCCUAGUCCUGUAAGACAGGACCAGUGGGUGAGUCUCGUGCUCCUCGCCCUGCUGCGGCGCCCUCCCGGUGGUGGAGUACGGUGCUGUGCUGUCUAUCGCCCGUGUUUUCCUGCGUUUGUCAUUUCUGCCUCCCCACACUCAGCCCAGAAGGCACGGGGAAGAGGGGGCUCCGUGUCCCACCAGCAACUCAACUCCACACUCCCUCCACUUUUCCGAGCCAGACUCAGCCACACCACGUGACCCACACUAGCAAGGACACAAUCGGGGAGGGGCAAGUAAGAGAAAUGAGCAGGGUUAAAAAUAUCAGCGGCUGCAAACAUGUUCUUUAUAGAAAAGUGAGAAUUAGCAAGGGUCUAGCAGCAAAGGCAUGGCUUUUAAUGCUAUGAAGAAAAGAGCAAAAGAAAAUCUUCCAGCAUUUGAAACUAUUGAGUGAGGCCCCUCACAGAAUCUUAAAGCACAUCUAGUACUCCCAUAGCGAAUGCACCAGCAUCUUUCUGAUCUACGGAUGUCAACUUUAGACAGAGGAAUCUGGAAUAACUGAGUGAAUAAAACAGGGAAGACAAGUUUGCAAAUCA